rnacentral:tRNA from 1 species
GGGUGUUAGCUCAGUUGGUUAGAGCGCCGGCCUGUCACGUCGGAGGUCGCGGGUUCAAGUCCCGUACAU